rnacentral:rRNA from 1 species
GAGUUUGAUCUUGGCUCAGAUUGAACGCUGGCGGCAGGCCUAACACAUGCAAGUCGAGCGGAUGACGGGAGCUUGCUCCUUGAUUCAGCGGCGGACGGGUGAGUAAUGCCUAGGAAUCUGCCUGGUAGUGGGGGACAACGUUUCGAAAGGAACGCUAAUACCGCAUACGUCCUACGGGAGAAAGCAGGGGACCUUCGGGCCUUGCGCUAUCAGAUGAGCCUAGGUCGGAUUAGCUAGUUGGUGGGGUAAUGGCUCACCAAGGCGACGAUCCGUAACUGGUCUGAGAGGAUGAUCAGUCACACUGGAACUGAGACACGGUCCAGACUCCUACGGGAGGCAGCAGUGGGGAAUAUUGGACAAUGGGCGAAAGCCUGAUCCAGCCAUGCCGCGUGUGUGAAGAAGGUCUUCGGAUUGUAAAGCACUUUAAGUUGGGAGGAAGGGCGAGUAAGUUAAUACCUUGCUGUUUUGACGUUACCGACAGAAUAAGCACCGGCUAACUCUGUGCCAGCAGCCG